rnacentral:tRNA from 1 species
CCGUGGCUGGCCCAGUUGGUAGAGCAUCUGAUUCUUAAUCUCAGGGUUGUGAGUUCAAGUCUCACGUUGGGCG